UGAGGAAUAUUGCGCAAUGGGGGAAACCCUGACGCAGCAAUGCCGCGUGAGCGAUGAAGCCUUUUGGGGUGUAAAGCUCUGUCAAGAGGGAAGAUUAUGACGGUACCUCUAGAGGAAGUCACGGCUAAUUACGUGCCAGCAGCCGCGGUAAUACGUAAGUGGCAAGCGUUAUCCGGAUUUACUGGGCAUAAAGAGCACGCAGGCGGUUUGUUAAGUCAGGUGUAAAAGGCUACAGCUCAACUGUAGUACACACUUGAUACUGGCAUACUAGAGAACAGAAGAGGAAAGUGGAACACACGGUGUAGCGGUGAAAUGCGUAGAUAUCGUGAGGAACACCAGUUGCGAAGGCGGCUUUCUGGGCUGAUUCUGACGCUGAGGUGCGAAAGCGUGGGGAGCAAACGGG
rnacentral:rRNA from 1 species